rnacentral:rRNA from 1 species
GAUGAACGCUGGCGGCGUGCCUAAUACAUGCAAGUCGAGCGAGCAGACGAGGAGCUUGCUUCUCUGACGUUAGCGGCGGACGGGUGAGUAACACGUGGAUAACCUACCUAUAAGACUGGGAUAACUUCGGGAAACCGGAGCUAAUACCGGAUAAUAUAUUGAACCGCAUGGUUCAAUAGUGAAAGACGGUUUUGCUGUCACUUAUAGAUGGAUCCGCGCCGCAUUAGCUAGUUGGUAAGGUAACGGCUUACCAAGGCAACGAUGCGUAGCCGACCUGAGAGGGUGAUCGGCCACACUGGAACUGAGACACGGUCCAGACUCCUACGGGAGGCAGCAGUAGGGAAUCUUCCGCAAUGGGCGAAAGCCUGACGGAGCAACGCCGCGUGAGUGAUGAAGGUCUUCGGAUCGUAAAACUCUGUUAUUAGGGAAGAACAAAUGUGUAAGUAACUAUGCACGUCCUGACGGUACCUAAUCAGAAAGCCACGGCUAACUACGUG